rnacentral:rRNA from 1 species
AGAGUUUGAUCCUGGCUCAGGGUGAACGCUGGCGGUAUGGAUAAGGCAUGCAAGUCGAAUGGGUUUAGACCCAUGGCAGACGAGGUAGUAACACGUAGGAACGUACCCGGAAGUCGGGCAUAACCAGCCGAAAGGUUGGAUAAUUCCCGAUGGUCUCGCAAGAGUAAAGAUUUAUCGCUUCCGGAGCGGCCUGCGUCGUAUCACGCUAGUUGGUGAGGUAAUGGCUCACCAAGGCUAUGACGCGUAGGGGAGCUGAGAGGCUGACCCCCACCGAUGAAACUGAGACACGGUUCAUACCCCUACGGGGGGCUGCAGCCGAGAAUAUUCGACAAUGGGGGAAACCCUGAUCGAGCGAUACCGCGUGGUGGAUGAAGUGAUUCGUCACGUAAACAUCUUUUAUGAGGGAGGAAGUAAUUGACGUUACCUCAUGAAUAAGGGGCUCCUAACUCUGUGCCAGCCGCCGCGGUAAUAC